UCAGGUGGCCGGAUGGCCGCUCUCGGCGACAGCCGGGGGAGGAAAGUCCGGGCUCCAUGGAAACACGGUGCCGGGUAACGCCCGGCGAGGGCGACCUUAGGGAAAGUGCCACAGAGAGCAGUCCGCCCUCCGGCGUUUGGGUCUUUCGGCCUGGGCGUGGGGGUUAGGGUGAAAGGGUGCGGUAAGAGCGCACCGCGGGGCCGGUAACGGUCCUGGCAGGGCAAACCCCACCGGGAGCAAGACCAAGUAGGGACGACGGCCUCUCCAAGACUCAGGUCUGGCGGGAGGCAGGCCGGUUUCCAGGCCGGUCGUCCGGGUCGGUCGCGCGAGGUGUCCGGCGACGGACAUCCCAGAGGAAUGGCCAUCCAGCGGCCUGUUUUCCACAGGCUGUGGACAGAACCCGGCUUACAGGCCGCCUGAUCGC
rnacentral:RNase_P_RNA from 1 species